rnacentral:rRNA from 1 species
GAUGAACGCUGGCGGCGUGCCUAAUACAUGCAAGUCGAGCGAACAGACGAGGAGCUUGCUCCUCUGACGUUAGCGGCGGACGGGUGAGUAACACGUGGAUAACCUACCUAUAAGACUGGGAUAACUUCGGGAAACCGGAGCUAAUACCGGAUAAUAUAUUGAACCGCAUGGUUCAAUAGUGAAAGACGGUUUUGCUGUCACUUAUAGAUGGAUCCGCGCCGCAUUAGCUAGUUGGUAAGGUAACGGCUUAGCAAGGCAACGAUGCGUAGCCGACCUGAGAGGGUAGUCGGCCCCAGUGGAACUAAGCCACCGUCCGGCCCCCGAGGGGGGGCAGAAGGAGGAGAUCUUCCGCAGGGGGGGAAAGCCUGACGGGGAAACGCCGCGGGGGUGGAGAAGGUCUUCGGAUCAUAAAACUUUUUUGUUGGGAAAAAAAAAAUGUGUAAGUAAAUUUGCACGUUUGAGCGGUACCUAAUAAGAAAGCCCGGGUUAAUUAGGG